UGGGGAAUAUUGCACAAUGGGCGAAAGCCUGAUGCAGCAACGCCGCGUGAGCGAUGAAGGCCUUUGGGUCGUAAAGCUCUGUCCUUGGGGAAGAAACAAAUGACGGUACCCAAGGAGGAAGCCCCGGCUAACUACGUG
rnacentral:rRNA from 1 species